rnacentral:rRNA from 1 species
UGCGUAGGCCGUCCGGGAAGUUGGGUGUGAAAUACCUCGGCUCAACCGAGGAACUGCGCCCAAAACUGCCGGGCUGGAGGGAGACAUAGGUGUGCGGAACUUAGGGUGGAGCGGUGAAAUGCGUUGAGAUCCUAGGGAACACCAGUAGCGAAAGCGGCACACUGGGUCUCUUCUGACGCUGGUGCACGAAAGCUAGGGGAGCGAAGAGGAUUAGAUACCCUCGUAGUCCUAGCCGUAAACGAUGAGCACUGGUUUGGAGGCUCCUCCAUAGGCUUCCAGACGUAGCGAAAGUGUUAAGUGCUCCGCCUGGGGAGUAUGGUCGCAAGGCUGAA